GCCAGCAGUCAUAUCACCCUGCAGCCCACAGCUGGCAGCCCACUGAAGCUCAGCAGGUACAGUAUGAGCCUGGUCUGUACCUGGAUGGGAGACCUCCUGGGAAAAACUAAGGUUGCUGCUGGAA
rfam:Lepisosteus oculatus linkage group LG1, whole genome shotgun sequence.